ACUUCUUUAGUAUAGAUAGUACCUCUUCCUUCCAAGUAGAUAGUCUAGUUGACACUAGAAGAAGUA
rnacentral:tRNA from 1 species